AAUAUUGGACAAUGGGCGAAAGCCUGAUCCAGCCAUGCCGCGUGUGUGAAGAAUGUCCUCGGAUUAUAAAGCACUUUAUGUUGGGAGGAAGGGCUCUAAGCUAAUACCUUGCUGUUUUGACGUCACCGACAUAAUAAGCACCCGCACACUUCUUGCUAGCAGCCGAGGUAAUACGUAGGGUGCAAGCGUUAAUCGGAAUUACUGCGCGUAAAGCGCGCGUAGGUGGUUUGUUAAGUUGGAAGUGAAAGCCCCGGGCUCAACCUGGGAACUGCUUUCAAAACUGGCAAGCUAGAGUAUGGCAGAGGGUGGUGGAAUUUCCUGUGUAGCGGUGAAAUGCGUAGAUAUAGGAAGGAACACCAGUGGCGAAGGCGACCACCUGGGCUAAUACUGACACUGAGGUGCGAAAGCGUGGGGAGCAAAC
rnacentral:rRNA from 1 species